rnacentral:rRNA from 1 species
UACGGGAGGCAGCAGUAGGGAAUCUUCCGCAAUGGACGAAAGUCUGACGGAGCAACGCCGCGUGAGCGAAGAAGGUCUUCGGAUCGUAAAGCUCUGUUGUCAGGGAAGAACAAGUGCCGU